UAGAAUAAUUUAAUUUUCUCAUUCCUUACCGAUCGCUUUCAGCAGCCGGUUGUGUUUACCGUGUCUCAUCGCAGGCAAACAAUUUCGUAGCCGGUGGAGUUUUUUCUCCACAAAGUGGUUUUUAUAUCGUGCGCUAUUCCCACCGAGGACGAGAGUGAUUUGCCUAAGGCGAUUAACGCGAUCGUCGUGAAGGAAGUCGACACUAUACGUGUACGAUUCCACCGGUAAUUAAAAACCCACGCCACCGUUUGUGGGCAACAGUUUUCAUCGAGGGCGGCGCGGCGGCGAGUGCGACGAGAGGGACAAACAUCAGCAACGUCAGCUUGUGUGUAUCCGAGUCGUCAUCACCGUGCUACCUACAGUACUGUAUCAAUAGAUAAGUAUUUUCGAUAUACGCUCUCGCCUCAUUGUUCCCAUUCCACAGUCUAUCACGUGAACACGAGAUAGUUGUCUGACUGCUAUUCUAUAGCAGUGGUUCCCAACCCACGUUCUGUGGAACAGUAUAAAAACUUGUAAAAAGUUUUCAAAGUUAUUUUUUUUUGGUUUAUUUCUUUUUCAUUUUGUUCUCUCGUUUUUUAAUUACUUUUGACACUGCAUAGCGUGUGCGUCAAAGUAAACAUAAAUUGAAUUUUAUUUGAACUACCACAUGGACGAUCCGAAUGGAGGCGGAUCGCCUCCUAAAGAUAUUAUUGCUCGGACGCGGUUUUACCAGCCAUCUUCGCCUGGGCCUUGGGUUGUCUAUUUCCGGCGCAAAUGCAAACCUUUGAAUGUGCUCUCAAUCUCUCGAGAGCUGACGCGUAAGUAUCCCGGGACUGUUAUUCACCAAGUGAAACAGUCCAAGCUGCGUGUAACCGCACCUAGUUACAAAGCAGCAAAUGAAAUUGUCCAGCACGAGUUGUUCUCAUGUGAAUAUGCCCUAUACAUAAAUGCACGAGAAGUGGAGGUGGAGGGGAAGAUCCUCGACGAAACGCUGACCUGCGACGACAUCAAGACCGGUGUAGGCCGGUUCAAUAAUAGGUCGAUCGCUGAUGUGAGUAUUCUUGAUUGCAAACCUCUUCAAAAGGCAUCCAUGGAAGGUGACAAGAAAGUUUACUCACCGUCAGGGUCUUUUCGAGUGACAUUCCCAGGCUCCGUCCUCCCAGAAUUUGUGGUAAUUGAUAAUGCUUUUUACACAGUACGUCUUUUUAGGCCGAAGGUUUUUAAUUGUACCAAAUGCAAGCAGUUUGGUCACAGUGCUAGCUUUUGCGACAACAAGCCCCGUUGUGGCAAAUGCAACCAAGCUCAUCUCGACGAGUCUUGCACACAGGAAGCUGAAAAAUGUAGCUACUGUGGUAAAGAACUUCACGACUUGCAAAAAUGCCCGGCCUAUAAAAAGCGUAUUCAAAAUGAGAGUCGCUCCAUAAUUAAGCGCUCCAAGAAGACAUACGCGGAAAUGGUGAAAUCAUCGAAUCCGCCCGCUAUAAUGUCUGAGUCAGCUGUCCCAGUUGAAAAUCCCUAUCAGGAGUUGUCUUCCGAUGAUCAGGACGAUGGCGAAACUGAUGAGGGUGGAUCCUUUUCGGAGGUACACGCAUCCGGAAAAAGGAAGUCACCAUCUUCCCCGGGAUUGCGCCGAAAGGUUUUCAUAAAGUCUUCCCUCAAAAGUUUGACAACUACCAAAGGAGGCGGAGGGAAUUUAAAAACUCCGAAGAAGCAGGUCUCUGAUGGUGCAGUUCCUUGCUGCAGCAAGGACCUAGAACCUCCGCCUCCAACUGUUAAGUAUACUUCAAAAAGAAAUACUCGACAAGGUGGCAAGAAAAAAGCCACAAAAGCUCCUCGAAUUUCAACAAAAUCUAUCAAGCCCAAACGAGGACUGUUCACUUUUAGGGCCCUUGUGGAUCGCUUAUAUGAUGCCCUCGGAAUUUCCGACUCCUUCAGAGGCAUACUAGACAUUUUUCUCCAAGCAGUAGAAGAGUAUCUUCGGAAUUUGACACAAUCAUGGCCCCUCCUUGCUUCGAUCAUAUCUUUUGAUGGAUAAUUCAUCAACCGAGGUCCAGAAUAUGAUCACUGUACUACAGUGGAACUGUCAUAGUUUAAAACCUAAAUUAGACCUGUUUAAAUUUUUGGUUCACAACUCUGAUUGUGAUAUAUUUGCACUUUGUAAAACAUGGCUUUCUUCUGAAGACGAACUCAACUUCCACGACUUCAACAUUAUUCGCCAGGACCGAGAUGACCAUUACGGAGGAGUACUAUUGGGGAUCAAAAAAAGUAACUCAUUUUAUAAAAUUCCAAUCCCAACUCAUCCUGGCGUAGAAAUCGUCGCUUGCCAAAUAAACGUAAAGGGUAAAGAUCUUUGCGUAGCUUCCGUUUACAUUCCUCCAAGAAUUUCUAUUAACCGCCGUCAUCUUUGGAAUGCGAUUUCUGCACUAUCACAUCCAGUUUUAAUUCUGGGUGAUAUGAACGCACAUGGUACAGGGUGGGGCGAACCAUAUGACGAUAAUAGAGCGGCCAUUUUCUAUGAUUUGUGCGACGAUUUCAAUUUGAACAUUUUAAAUACAGGUGAAGUGACACGUAUUGCAUCUGACGGCAAAGAAAGUCGUCUUGACCUAACACUGGGAUCAAGUUCACUAUCAUUCGAUUGCUUGUGGAAGGUAAUCGAGGAUCCUCAUGGUAGUGAUCACUUGCCCAUAAUAACCACCAUAAAGCAUAAUAGUGAAAGGUCAGAUCAACCAAUUCCGGUUCCUUUUGACCUCACAAGGAAUAUCGAUUGGCAAAAAUAUGCAGAAGCGGUAUCUUUUGGCAUCGAAUCAUUCAACCCCCUUCCACCUUUGGAUGAGUAUCGAUUCCUGUCUGAACUGGUAUACAAGAGUGCAUUAGAAUCACAAAAACGACGAGUUCCAAGUGCAAGCUUCAAAAGAAGACCAGCCACACUAGGCUGGGAUGAUGAUUGCACCCAGUUGUAUCUUAAAAAAUCUGAUGCUUUCAAAACUUUUCGUAGGCACGGUACCUCAGAUCUUUAUCAAGAGUACGCUAAGCUCGAAAGACAGCUGAAGAACCUGCUGAAAGCGAAGAAGCGUAGUUAUUGGCGACACUUCAUUGAGGGUCUCUCAAGAGAAACUUCAAUGACAACGCUUUGGAGAGUGGCUCGCAACAUGCGAAACCGCUCUUCUUCUAAUGAGAGUGACGAAUACUCCAACCGUUGGAUAUUCAGCUUCGCGAAAAAGGUCUGCCCAGACUCAGUCCCAGCACAACCGAUUUCUUGGGAAACAUCCCCAAGAGACGGUUCUCUGGACAGACCCUUCACUAUGCUGGAAUUUUCUAUGGCUCUUCUUUCAUCAAACAAUUCCGCUCCGGGACGCGAUAUGAUCAAGUUCAAUCUUCUUAAGAAUCUCCCAGAUAUCGCGAAAAGACGAUUACUAGACCUGUUCAACUCAUUCAUGGAGAACAACAUUGUUCCGCCAGAAUGGAGACAGGUCAAAGUAAUAGCUAUUCAAAAGCCUGGUAAACCAGCGUCUGAUCAUAAUUCAUACCGCCCAAUUGCAAUGUUAUCAUGUUUAAGGAAAUUGUUAGAAAAAAUGAUCCUAUCGCGACUCGACCAUUGGGUUGAAUCGAAUAACUUGCUUUCAAAUACUCAGUUCGGGUUUCGCAAGGGUAAAGGAACAAACGAUUGUCUAGCGUUGCUUUCAUCAGAUAUUCAACUAGCCUUUGCGGAAAAGGAGCAAUUGGCUUCAGUUUUCUUGGACAUUAAGGGCGCUUUUGAUUCAGUUUCCAUAGAAAUAUUGUCAGAAAAACUGCACAAUAGUGGACUACCAGGAACUUUAAGCAAUUUCUUGUAUAAUUUGUUGUCAGAAAAACAUAUGAGCUUCAAUCUCGGACAACUGACUACUUCCAGAAUUAGCUACAUGGGCCUACCCCAAGGCUCAUGUUUAAGUCCCUUGCUUUAUAAUUUUUAUGUGAAAGACAUUGAUAGCUGUCUAGAAGGACAAUGCACGCUAAGACAACUUGCAGAUGAUGCUGUGGUUUCUCUAAAAGGCCCACAUGCAGAAAUGUUGCAAAGACCAUUGCAAAGUUCCUUAAACAAUCUGUCCAUUUGGGCAAGAGAUUUGGGGAUCGAGUUUGCUCCGCAAAAAACUCAAUUGGUUGUGUUUUCCAGAAAGCGGAACCCAGCCCAACUGAAACUCAAUCUUUUGGGAAUAGAAAUCGACCAAUCUUUGACUUCGAAAUACCUUGGGGUCUGGUUUGAUUCAAAAGGCACUUGGGGUACCCAAACUAAGUAUUUGGUGCAAAAAUGUCAGCAAAGGAUCAAUUUUCUACGCACAAUUACCGGAACAUGGUGGGGUGCUCACCCGGAAGACCUCAUAAAACUUUACAAAACGACUAUUCUCUCUGUUCUCGAGUAUGGCUCUUUCUGUUUCCACUCAGCAGCAAACUGCCACCUAAUAAAAUUGGAACGAAUUCAAUAUCGUUGUCUGCGCAUUGCCCUCGGCUGCAUGCACUCAACGCAUAAUGCGAGCCUAGAGGUCCUGGCAGGGGUGAAACCUCUCCAGAACCGCUUCUGGGAACUCUCGCUAAGGUUACUUAUUAAAUGUGGAGUAAGCAACACACUUGUAAUUGAAAACUUCGAAGACAUGCUCAGACUGAACACUCAGUCAAAAUUCAUGAGAAUUUAUCUGUUCUACAUGUCAUCUGACAUAAGCCUCCCAGGUUAUAAUCCUCCUCGUGCACACUUCACCAAUGACAGUUCCUCUGUUAAAUACGAUCUGUCCAUGAAACAAGCAAUUCAUGGAAUACCAGAUCAACUUCGGUGUAUAUCCAUUCCUCGCAUUUUUAACGAAAAGUACCAAAAUGUCAAUUCCUGUAAGAGAUUCUUCACUGAUGGGUCUCGAAUUAAUGGGUCCACUGGCUUCGGUGUCUUCAACGAAAAUUCCACCGCCUUCCGGAAACUUCAAGAACCUUGUUCAGUUUAUGUUGCUGAGCUGGCAGCAAUCGACUUCGCUUUGGGGAUGAUUUCCAACAUGCCCGCAGACCACUUCUUCAUCUUCUCGGAUAGCCUUAGUUCGAUUGAGGCACUCCGGUCGAUGAAACCUGUAAAGCAUGCAUCUUACUUUCUUACAAAAAUAAGAGAGCAGAUGUAUGCACUGGUCGAAAGAUCAUACAAGAUUACCUUUGUAUGGGUCCCCUCACAUUGCUCAAUUUAUGGCAAUGAGAAGGCGGACUCUCUCGCAAAGGUGGGCGCACAGGAAGGUGAGAUCUAUGAUAGAAGAAUUUCACACGAUGAAUUUUUCCAUUUAGUUCGUCAGAGUUCUCUUCAAAGUUGGCAACAUGAUUGGCGAGAUGGCCAACUGGGACGGUGGUUACAUUCUAUUAUUCCUAAUGUUUCUUUGCGAGCGUGGCAUUACGGUUUGGAUGAAGGUCGAGACUUCAUACGUGUGAUGUCAAGACUUAUGUCCAACCAUUACUCGCUAGGCGCGCAUUUGCAUAGAAUAAAUCUUGCGCUCGACAAUAUUUGCACUAAGUGCGGUUCCGGUUAUGAUGACAUCGACCACGUAGUUUGGCAAUGCCCGGAUAAUGACGCCUCCAGAGCGCUACUAUUGGAUACCCUUGAGGCCCGAGGUAGACAACCCUUUGUUCCAGUAAGAGAUGUAUUGGGAACCCGCGAUCUAAUCUAUAUGCGGUCCAUUUAUGAGUUUCUUCGCAUGUGUUGUAUAAAGGUUUAAUCUCCCUAUGUUUUUUCGCUUCAGUUUUUUUUUUCUCUAUGUUUUGUCCUUUUGUGUUUUGUUCCUGGCCAUCCGGCAGAUGAGAAUCCGUGACAAGCCCAUGCCAACACCAGAGGCGACGCAAAAAGCCAUGAUACCUCCCGGAUGUGCUACAGCAAACCCUGAAACCUUAUCCUGACCAUGCCUUUCCUUAAAAAUAUGUGACCCGCUAACCUCGAGCAGCCACGAGUACCCUGGCCUCCACCCAGUACUAACCUUGAUAUAAGAAAGCAAUAUCGUUGUAUGUUAUUGAAUACAAAAAAUGAAUCCCGGCUCCGUAAAGCGUUGAACGCGAUUGAGCCAUAAAUAAACGAACUAGAUAAAAAAAAAAAAAAAAAAUUUAAUUUUCUCACAUUACGAGGAUCGCGAUGGUGCACGGUUCUGAAGUCGAGGGGGAACCCGGUAACCGUUAAGUGCCCUCAAAUUAAUUUCGGUGUUGUUUAUGAUUUCCUCUUUCGAGGAAAAUGUGAAAGUAUAAGCGCCAACGCAAAUGAAUUGAAAAGCAGUGAUUUUUUGUUAAUCAUAUCUUAAAAAGUUACUGAGUCACCUCACGGAGUUCACGCGCAAACAGAAGAGAGAAAAAAUCGAACGGAGCGGCAGCUGCACCGUGACGUGUUUUGAGUGAGACUCGAAUGUCUGGAAGCUGUGGAGCGUUUUUUUUGUUCGUGACAUCGUUAUUUUUUGUCUUCGCAGUGUAUUCAAUAUUGGGUUACCUAAAUUUUAAGGGGUGUGAUUGAUUCACUGUUAUAGUUUGUGCUUGUACGAACAACCCUCCUCUCGUAGGGAAAGUGAAAAGUAAACGGUCUGCUCCAACAAGUGCUGCAAGAAGAAAUACCACUACUGCGUACAUGGCGUUGAAUUGAGUGAUUUUAAAUGGAUUUAUGAGCGGAAUUAUGAGCGGAAGUUGGUGUAUUUAAUACAUGUUUGGUUUAAUUGAAAUGCGUUCUGAAGCAUAUGACGGUGUUCUGAGAUGUUUGCUCGUUACCUACUUUGUACGGAGGAUAUGCGUUAAGAUUUACGACUCUGUAACUGUGGAAGAAGCGCGAGCAAAUCCUGCGUGAUUUACAAUCAUUUCGUGCUUGGAAAUGUUGUGCAAAAGAUUGUUUGUGUGAUAUUGUAUGGAACAGUGAAGUUAGUCAUCGUGGUGAUACUCUUUGUGAAUCGGAAUCAGGUGGGAUGAUCUGUUAUUGGAGUGAUGAUUCAUCUAUGGAAGUGGAUUCACAAAAUAUCUGUGCUAGUAUAGUAGUGGAAUAUAAAUCUUAAAUACUUAUCAAAGAGCUUUUUCCAUCCAGCCCCAACCGCGCGAAAAGAAAGAUUUCGCUGGAACCCGUUCAGCCGUCGCAUCGCAUCGCAUCGCGUCUCGUCAAGAAGCGGAAAAGGUCAACGAGACGAUACACAACGACUUGGAGCGAUACAUUUAAUUCCUCUAUGAGACUCCGGUGUGGUGACUGCCGUAGUCACCGUCAGCGUCGCAGUGCCAUAACAGUCAAUUGGUUGUGAAGUAGCGCAGCAUCGACUUUGCGUUUCAUCUGCCACAGAGUGUGCGGAACACACUGUCGUCCGGGCCAGGACAGACAACGACGAAACGAAAUCUCAUGAAUGUGAUAAUUAAUCAACCUUAGAAUUUAUUAACUCCCAACUAUUUUCUGCACUGGACGUUUGGAAUUGUAUUCCAGUAGUAUCAUUGUUUUUUUGUUGAAUUGCAUGAGAACCGCACUUUAGUGCUCUCGGGAAGAGAAUAGUUAAUUAUUUAUUCGACGAAAGUUG